CGCGAAAAACUCUACAAUGCACGCAAGUGUGAUAGGGCAACCCCUCGUGCUUAUCGAAAGAUAGGUCUUUUAUUAUGUGUAGUGAUCAUAAUGAAUAAGUGGUGGGCAAGACCGGUGCCAGCAGCCGCGGUAAUACCGGCGCCACGAGUGGAGUUCACUAUUAUUGGGGUCUAAAGUGUCCGUAGCUGGUUUAUUAAGUCUCUUGUGAAAUUUCUGUUUGCUUAACUCAGAAACUGCAAGAGAUACUGGUAAACUCGAGACCGGAAGAGGUAACAAGUAUUGUUUGGGUAGCGGUAAAAUGCUAUAAUCCUUACAAGACUAACUAAGGCGAAGGCAUGUUACUUGGACGGAUCUGACAGUGA
rnacentral:rRNA from 2 species